AGUUUAUCGCUUUGUAAGGUUUCCGGUCUUUUAAGGCCAUUCUGGACAUAGAGUUGACUUUACAAUGAGAGCACGUAUUUCUAGGAGCCGGGGGUCAGGGUAUUUAAUUUAAUGUUUUUAUUGAGCAGUUUAGUAAUUGAAUAUUCAUGGUUAAACAGGCAUCAGAAGCCAAACUGAACCACAGGAGGGACCUUCAAGAGGUCCAGCUAGCUCGGACCAGCAGCCGUAGAAGAACGAAGGAAACCACUCGGGCCAUCAUCCUAGCUUCCGACCCACCACCAAAGUGUAGGAGUUCGUUGUAACUCUUUUGUAAAUCCUGUAAAUUUGUAUAGAAAUGCUCUGAGAUCUUGUUGAACAUAAGGAACUGGUAGGAUUUUUGAGACUGUUUGACAGGUGGAAGACUUUGUGUUUGGUCAAAAUACAGGGUAGACUCUGCCGGAUUUUCGGCAGAAGUCGAAAGUAAAUUUUAAGAAAUUUGUUUAA